AUACGUAGGUGGCAAGCGUUAUCCGGAAUUAUUGGGCGUAAAGAGUGAGCAGGCGGUUAAUUAAGUCCGAGGGUAAAGCGUGGGGCUCAACCCCAUAAAGCCUUGGAAACUGAUUGACUAGAGUACGGGAGAAGUGAAGGGAACUCCAUGUGUAGCGGUGAAAUGCGUAGAUAUAUGGAAGAACACCAGUGGCGAAGGCGCUUCACUAGCCCGAAACGGACGCUCAGUCACGAAAGCGUGGGUAGCAAAUAGGAUUAGAUACCCUAGUAGUCCACGCUGUAAACGAUGACAACUAAAUAUUGCCGCGAGGCAGUGUUGAAGCUAACGCAUUAAGUUGUCCGCCUGGGGAGUACGGUCGCAAGACUGAUACUCAAAGGAAUUGACGGGG
rnacentral:rRNA from 1 species